AUCCUUCGAUUCAUGAGUGUGAUGAUUGGGUGUUCAUGCCUUAAGCACGAGAUGUGUCUCCCUCAAACCUUGUUACGACGUGGGCACAUUACCCAUCUGACA